rnacentral:pre_miRNA from 1 species
CAUGAACUGGUGGGGUCCCUCGGCCUAGCCUGUGCCUUCUUGCAAUCUGGGACCCUUUGGGGGAUGUCAGACUGCCGGUAUCAGCCCGAUCCCCACAGGCCAGGCUGAGGGACCCCACCAGUGCACG